rnacentral:rRNA from 1 species
GUGCCAGCAGCCGCGGUAAUACGUAGGGGGCUAGCGUUAUCCGGAUUUACUGGGCGUAAAGGGUGCGUAGGCGGUCUUUCAAGUCAGGAGUGAAAGGCUACGGCUCAACCGUAGUAAGCUCUUGAAACUGUAAGACUUGAGUGCAGGAGAGGAGAGUGGAAUUCCUAGUGUAGCGGUGAAAUGCGUAGAUAUUAGGAGGAACACCAGUUGCGAAGGCGGCUCUCUGGACUGUAACUGACGCUGAGGCACGAAAGCGUGGGGAGCAAACAGGAUUAGAUACCCGAGUAGUCC